UGAGGAAUAUUGGGCAAUGCCCGAAAGGGUGACCCAGCAACGCCGCGUGGAGGAUGAAGGUCGUAAGAUUGUAAACUCCUGUUAGAGGGGAAGAAUAACUAAGUUUGGAGCUUAGUAUGACUGUACCCUCAGAGAAAGCCCCGGCUAACUACGUGCCAGCAGCCGCGGUAAUACGUAGGGGGCAAGCGUUGUCCGGAUUUACUGGGUGUAAAGGACGCGCAGGCGGAAUGGAAAGUCAGUGGUGAAAUCCUACAGCUUAACUGUAGAACUGCCUCUGAUACUUUCAUUCUUGAGUUCGGGAGAGAGAGACGGAAUUCCAGGUGUAGUGGUGAAAUACGUAGAUAUCUGGAAGAACACCAGUUGCGAAGGCGGUCUCUUGGUCCGAUACCGACGCUGAGGCGCGAAAGCGUGGGGAGCAAACA
rnacentral:rRNA from 1 species